rnacentral:rRNA from 1 species
GAUGAACGCUGGCGGCGUGCCUAAUACAUGCAAGUCGAGCGAACGGACGAGAAGCUUGCUUCUCUGAUGUUAGCGGCGGACGGGUGAGUAACACGUGGAUAACCUACCUAUAAGACUGGGAUAACUUCGGGAAACCGGAGCUAAUACCGGAUGAUAUUUUGAACCGCAUGGUUCAAAAGUGAAAGACGGUCUUGCUGUCACUUAUAGAUGGAUCCGCGCUGCAUUAGCUAGUUGGUAAGGUAACGGCUUACCAAGGCAACGAUGCAUAGCCGACCUGAGAGGGUGAUCGGCCACACUGGAACUGAGACACGGCCCAGACUCCUACGGGAGGCAGCAGUAGGGAAUCUUCCGCAAUGGGCGAAAGCCUGACGGAGCAACGCCGCGUGAGUGAUGAAGGUCUUCGGAUCGUAAAACUCUGUUAUUAGGGAAGAACAUAUGUGUAAGUAACUGUGCACAUCUUGACGGUACCUAAUCAGAAAGCCACGGCUAACUACGUG